ensembl:lncRNA
UUUUUUUUUAGACCAUGUCCUGCGUUUUAUUUUUGUGAGCAGCAGUGCGUCACCCACAAAAGCACAGCCCAGGGAAGGGGACCCAAAGCAGAGGAGUGUCCUCUCUCCAGCUGGAGGAACAGGGUUCCCGGUCUUCUUCCUCUAGCCAUGACCAGACUGCCAUCUGGGGCCUGAGAGGAGUCGGCGCUCUGCGCCCACUACGUGCCAGGGGCAGCCGCCGCUUUCCGCCGCCUCUUCUUCCCCUUUGGGGCUGGGCUGGGCGUCAGCUCUGACGCUGCUGCUUUGGCUUGUGAGCCGGAGCUCGGCUCCUCUACCCGCUCAAGCACCGCGAUGAAGAAGCCACCGGUGAGCGUGGUCUCAGGGGAGGCCCGGAGGCAGUGUUCAGCGCCUGGAAAGGCACUGAGGCCUCGGUGCGGCCAGGAGGGGAGGACGGGAGCCAGCCUGAAGGCCCCCGGGCUCUGUUGCAAGGCGGCUCGCACCACGUCUUCAUUCUCUUCUUGGCAGACAGAGCACGUGGAGUAGACGAGGCGUCGCAGGGCGGGAAACGUGAGCGCGUGGCUCAGUGCCCGCUGCUGGAAGGCAGCCAGUGCUCGCAGGCGCUCCGGGCUCGGCGUGCAAGACUUGGGCUCCUCCAGCUGCCUGCUGGGCAUCCCAGAGCCGCUACAGGAGGGAUCCAGCAAGAUGUACUGGACCUGACAAUAACGCUGGUCCGAGGGCGAGACCGCCAGGAAGUCCUGCUCGGCCAGCUCGCAGCAGGAGACCCCCGCCCGGGCCAGCAGGGUAGCCAUAGACGCCAGUCGCUUGGCAUCCUGGUCAAAGGCGAAGAUCUUCCCUUGGUUCUUGAGAAGAGCAGCCAGGAUCUUCACACCAUCCAGUCCUCCAGGAAGUCCCAUUCACCGCUGUCCUCUCUACUGUUCAGGUGUCAAAUUAAGCAUGUUUCAGGAU